rnacentral:rRNA from 1 species
AGUGAACGCUGGCGGUAGGCCUAACACAUGCAAGUCGAACGGCAGCACAGUAAGAGCUUGCUCUUACGGGUGGCGAGUGGCGGACGGGUGAGGAAUACAUCGGAAUCUACUUUUUCGUGGGGGAUAACGUAGGGAAACUUACGCUAAUACCGCAUACGACCUACGGGCGAAAGCAGGGGAUCUUCGGGCCUUGCGCGAUUGAAUGAGCCGAUGUCGGAUUAGCUAGUUGGCGGGGUAAAGGCCCACCAAGGCGACGAUCCGUAGCUGGUCUGAGAGGAUGAUCAGCCACACUGGAACUGAGACACGGUCCAGACUCCUACGGGAGGCAGCAGUGGGGAAUAUUGGACAAUGGGCGCAAGCCUGAUCCAGCCAUACCGCGUGGGUGAAGAAGGCCUUCGGGUUGUAAAGCCCUUUUGUUGGGAAAGAAAAGCAGCAGGUUAAUACCCCGCUGUUCUGACGGUACCCAAAGAAUAAGCACCGGCUAACUUCGUG